AUUUUUAGAGUAAAGUAGAAAGUAGUAAAGUAUAAUGAAACUAGUCGGGAAUCUUCUUCACUUUUGGCACCUGUGCAAACCAUUUUACCAGACGAAAAAAUAAGUGCUGUAGUUCUUGGCUCUCUUAUUCUCAUAAUGACAGCUGCAAAUCGCUUUGGAUUAUAUUCAGCAUUUCGAGCAUGCAGAGCUAUUUUUUUUAAAUCCAAUUUACAGUUGAGGUUUACUGUAGACACAAUAUUCCUGAAAUAAAGGAAAUAAAUAAGUACUAAGUUUACCAAAACUUAUAUUGUGGAAAAGAAGAAAAGAAUUUGUAUGACUACUUUUGUUAAUUAAAAAUUGUAUUACACCAUAA